rnacentral:lncRNA from 1 species
CUGGCUCAGCGCCCAGUGCCAACAGAACACCUUCAGGAUUCACAGCAACGCAGAAACCGCUCCGUCCAGUGUGGUGAUGACUUCCUCCCUCUGGCUGCCUACAGAGAAGAGUCUCCACUGGUUUCCUUAGGAUCAAGUCAUAGAACUUUCAGCUCCUCCAGUAUCAUGUCUGCCUACACACUGCCAUGCUUCCUGCCAUGAUGACAAUGGACUGAAACUCUAAAGUGGUCUCCCCUUCAGAAACGCCCUAUCCCAUCCCUCUCCCCCUGCCUCUUUGAGGGUGCUCCCCUACCCACCCAGGAGACAGCCAGAUCAGGCUUCCUGGCAAGCACUUCCCGACAUCCACAAUAUCGUCCAGGUUUGGUGGGAUAGGUUCCCAGGUAGGGCAGUCUGUGGAUGGCCUUUCCUUCAGUCUCUGCUCCACACUUUGUCUCCCUACUUCCUCCUGUGAGUAAUUUGUUCAUCCUUCUAAGAAGCACUGAAGCAUCCACAUUUUGGUCUUCCUGCUUCUUAGAUUUCAUAUGGUCUGUGAAUUGAAUCUUGGGUAUUCCGAACUUUUGGGCUAAUAUACACUUGUCAGUGAGUACACACCGUGUUUGUUCUUUUGUGACUGAGUUACCUCACUCAGGAUGAUAUUUUCAAGUACCAUCCAUUUGCCUGCGAAUUUCAUGAAGUCAUUGUUUUUAAUAGCUGAGUAGUACUCCAUUGUGUAAAUGUAUCCAUUCCUCUGUUGAGGAACAUCUGGGUUGUUUCCAGCUUCUGGCAAUUAUAAGUAUGGCUUUUUCUCUUUAAUGAUCUGGAUUUUAAAAAUUGUUUUCAAUGUAUCAAGGAUGAAACCUUAAUUAAAUACCUGAUUCUUUACUAUCCAUAUUAGUAUGUAUGGUACUAACAGAUAACAAAGCUAUCUUGAAUGUAAACAUGAACUGUAUCUGCUGUUGCCAAUAUGACUCAAAAUGGUUAUUUUAUUGUGGCUCUCCAAAUAUUAGUGCGUAUAUAAUUUAUAAUAUUCGGUUUCUCCAGGAGGGUUUUUAUAAGCUUUAAGUGAGCUUGACUGUAAUCAGUGGGGGCUGAAGUUGAUAUGGUCACCCUUUACAUAGGUUUUCUCUGUCUGUUUUUAAAAUGAAGAUGCAGUCUUUCAGCAAUGCCUGAUGUUUCAGUUCAGAGCCCUACUUAAUCUUGUACCUUAUAAAGUGACUCUUUAAUCUCUAUGAAUAAGGGAGAAGGCAGUCCUUCAAGUCUAUGGUUGGUUUGGAAAGACUUUAGACUUUCCGCCAAUGUUAGCCAUCUGUCUUUGCCACACUCAAAAGGCCCCAGCCCUGAUACCAGGUACUUAUGUGAUUCUAUGGUACAAAUUGAACUGUCUUUGAGUUUUCCUCUUCCCUUUAAAAAAAUAAAAAGUGUUUAAAAGC